UACGUAGGGUCCGAGCGUUGUCCGGAAUUACUGGGCGUAAAGAGCUCGUAGGUGGUUUGUCGCGUUGUUCGUGAAAACUCACAGCUUAACUGUGGGCGUGCGGGCGAUACGGGCAGACUGGAGUACUGCAGGGGAGACUGGAAUUCCUGGUGUAGCGGUGAAAUGCGUAGAUAUCAAGAGGAACACCUGAGGUGAAGACGGGUUGCUGGGCUGACACUGACGCUGAGGCGCGAAAGCCAGGGGAGCAAACGGG
rnacentral:rRNA from 1 species